GAUGAACGCUGGCGGCGUGCCUAAUACAUGCAAGUCGAACGCACAGCGAAAGGUGCUUGCACCUUUCAAGUGAGUGGCGAACGGGUGAGUAACACGUGGAUAACCUACCUCAAGGUUGGGGAUAACAUUUGGAAACAGAUGCUAAUACCGAAUAAAACUUAGUAUCGCAUGAUACCAGGUUAAAAGGCGCUACGGCGUCACCUAGAGAUGGAUCCGCGGUGCAUUAGUUAGUUGGUGGGGUAAAGGCUUACCAAGACAAUGAUGCAUAGCCGAGUUGAGAGACUGAUCGGCCACAUU
rnacentral:rRNA from 1 species